rnacentral:rRNA from 1 species
UACAGAGGGGGCAAGCGUUGUUCGGAAUUACUGGGCGUAAAGGGCGCGUAGGCGGCCUGCUAAGUCGAACGUGAAAUCCCUGGGCUCAACCCAGGAACUGCGUCCGAUACUGGUUGGCUUGAAUUCGGGAGAGGGAUGUGGAAUUCCAGGUGUAGCGGUGAAAUGCGUAGAUAUCUGGAGGAACACCGGUGGCGAAGGCGGCAUCCUGGACGGUAACUGACGCUGAGACGCGAAAGCGUGGGGAGCAAACAGG